GACGUAGGGCGCGAGCGUUGUCCGGAUUUAUUGGGCGUAAAGAGCUCGUAGGCGGCUCAUUGCGUCAACCGUGAAAACCAGCAGCUCAACUGUUGGCUUGCGGUUGAUACGGGUGGGCUGGAGUUCGGUAGGGGAGACUGGAAUUCCUGGUGUAGCGGUGAAAUGCGCAGAUAUCAGGAGGAACACCGGUGGCGAAGGCGGCUCCCUGGGCCGGUCCUGACGCUGAGGCGCGAAAGCGUGGGGAGCGAUCCGG
rnacentral:rRNA from 1 species